GGAGGAGUGGCCGAGUGGUUGAAGGCGGCGGUCUUGAAAACCGUUGAGUGUAACAGCUCCGUGGGUUCGAAUCCUACCUCCUCCGCCA
rnacentral:tRNA from 1 species